CGUGUAGGCGGCCUCGCAAGUCAGACGUGAAAUUCAUCGGCUCAACUGAUGACCUGCGUUUGAAACUGCUUGGCUUGAGUACGGGAGAGGAAAGCGGAAUUCUCGGUGUAGCGGUGAAAUGCGUAGAUAUCGAGAAGAACACCAGUGGCGAAGGCGGCUUUCUGGCCCGAUACUGACGCUAAGGCGCGAAAGCUAGGGGAGCAAACA
rnacentral:rRNA from 1 species